UCAAAAAACCUUUCACCACAGAGUUGCAUGAAAAUUCCGGUGGCAACCAAUUUUCGAUUGAAAACAACGUUUUGCAUGAGUCAUGCAACUGUCACAUUACAUUCAUGUCACCUCUGCUCGAUUUUCACGCAGCUUACACUCACACAGCAAAAUACUACGUGAAUUUCAUGCCUGAAAAUUUGGAGGCGUGGUGUGCAAGUCAGAUGAUUUUGGUUUGCAUGAAAUUCAUGUCACAUUCGCAAGUAAAGUGGUAUGGAAAAUAUUCACUUACCAUUUCAUGCAACAUUGUGGUGAAAAGUGACGACGAUGAGCCACGCGAUGAGCAGAGUUGAAAGGUUGCGUGAUUUUCCUGUCUGAAAAUUUUUAGCCAGGCCUGCAAGUCUGAGGACAAUCAGUCUGCUGGUGAUCCUCAACAGCUAAACAUUCAGUCGGGCACGGAAUCAAAGUUUAAGUUUUUUUCUGUUGCUGUGGGUUUCAAGAACCAGAGCAAUUGUUCAUUCUGCAGUCUUUCCCUUUUUUGAAGAUUCAUUUGCAUCGGAUUCAGAAAAUCCAGCGCGAUUGUCGGUGCCCUAUCGUGGCCAAUUGUAGUUUGCCGGAUGUGCACAAAGUACAGCGGGAUCGGCCAUCAAGGUAGCCAAGGAAUCAUGAAUCAAAAAAGGCCGAGGAGAAGGAGACGAAUGUGUCGCCGCGAAUGGCAGAAGGUAAAGGUAACGAAACUGCCCUUCAAGACUUCCCCGGAAGCCGCAGGCGCGCCGGAAUCGUAGACAAUUCGCCUGUGAUAAGGAACUUGCUGA